UAACAUGUUUAGGAUAAAUCUUUAUCUAGUUGUUAAUUAUUCAAAAUCACUCAUUAUCGCAAUCCUAAUUACACCAUGAGCUUCUUGUUCAAUGCUUCGACGGACUAAAAUUACUAAAAAAAGGUUGAGAAUAUUAU
rfam:Populus trichocarpa scaffold_15_contig_175, whole genome shotgun sequence.